UGCCGCGUGUGUGAAGAAGGCCUUCGGGUUGUAAAGCACUUUUGUCCGGAAAGAAAAGUUCCUCCCUAAUAUGGAUGGAGGAUGACGGUACCGGAAGAAUAAGCACCGGCUAACUACGUGCCAGCAGCCGCGGUAAUACGUAGGGUGCGAGCGUUAAUCGGAAUUACUGGGCGUAAAGCGUGCGCAGGCGGUCUGUUAAGACCGAUGUGAAAUCCCCGGGCUUAACCUGGGAACUGCAUUGGUGACUGGCAGGCUUUGAGUGUGGCAAAGGGGGGUAAAAUUCCACGUGUAGCAUUGAAAUGCGUAAAGAUGUGGAGGAAUACCGAUGGCAAAGGCAGCCCCCUGGGCCAACACUGACGCUCAUGCACAAAAGCGUGGGGAGCAAACAGGAUUAAAUACCCUGGUAGUCCACGCCCUAAACAAUGUCAACUAGUUGUUGGGGAUUCAUUUCCUUAGUAACGUACCUAACGCGUGAAGUUGACCGCCUGGGGAGUACGGUCGCAAGAUUAAAACUCAAAGGAAUUGACGGGAACCCGCACAAGCGGUGGAUGAUGUGGAUUAAUUCAAUGCAACGCGAAAAACCUUACCUACCCUUGACAUG
rnacentral:rRNA from 1 species